rnacentral:lncRNA from 1 species
CUGCUCUCUAAAUACAGGAGGCCCUUUCAGCUUCUGCUCUAAGCUCCUUUUAAACCACCACUGGAGAUUGGAAAAAUCAAAACUUCACAGCAGUGAUAAGAGCACUGAAAAGAAGCAGAUUUCCUGAGUCUUGAAAGGAAGGGGAAUUGGAAGAUAAUAUUUUUCUCACUGCUGUGCCUGUGUUUUCUUAGGCCCAGCUAAAUCCAAGGCGGUCUCUCCCAGGCCUAGGCUCUCCGGAGGACUGCGCGCAGGCAGCUGCCGAGGGAACAAGGGAACUUGCUGCCCAAAAUGUGUAGCUGCGAGUCCAAGAAAAGGACACAAAAUCCUCAGGAAGAAGAGUCUACAGACAAGGUUUGGUUGGCACCUGUGUUUAUGGACCUCUUGUAAUAAAUCAAGGGAACAUGGGGAUGAGGCCCAGGCUGUACUGGAGCAGGGAUUGCAAUUGCCAGACAGUCCAGAUUACUCAGUGUAUUUAAUGCUGCCCUUCCUCAAUUCCACCCAAAGCUCACAUGGCGACACGAAGGGCAUUGGUGAGGAAACCAGCGAGGAGUCUGCAUGAGCCUGAGAUGUUGCUAAGCUCUCUGAUAUCUGCGGUGAGAGUGUCUACGCGAAGAUUACCCAUGCUGGGCUCCAGCGUUUCAACCCUAACCCCACAAUGAGCGCCUGGUCACUCUGUGGUCUAAACUCUGAGAGAAGAGAGCAUUCCAUACUAUACUACAUUUCGUACACAAUUAUUUGAUACAUGGAAGAAACCAUAAAUAUUAUUUAUCUUACCAUGGGCCUCAGAAUGUCCAAACACCACAGCUAAUUAGGGUUCAAUAAUAGAUUCAAUAAGCUGAAGCCUGUUUUUCUGGUUUAUCAAAACAAGUAAAGCAAUGGCCAUUACAUUCUAAUUUGUAAGCAUUUUGUUUGAUGGCUUUGAGUAGAAAGUACUUAGCUUUGCCUGUCCUAUAGGAGGUCCAGCCACCAUCUAAAGUCAGCACUAAACUAUAUCUGUUGCCAUUUACGAUACUUUUUUCCAUUUGUGGAAACAAGUUAUUUGUUAUAACCAAACAUAUAUUCAAAUACAGACGGAGCUUUUGCUAAAAGAUUAGAAAGUCAAUAUUUCCUAAUUGGCAAGGAGAAGGAUUUGGUCAAAGCCAAUGAGAAUUUCUUCUAUGAUCAGUCUUUCCCCAGGAGCUGGCUCCUGUGAAGAUUAUAACUCACCUGCUGCAGAUGCGAGUAAAGUUGACACUGUGAAGCAAAGCAUACUAGUAUAUUUCACCAUCUCAGGGUACCCCAGUUGAAAAGUUUUAAUCAAGACUCCCUAAACCAUGAUUUCUCAACUUCAGCACUAUUGACUUUGAGGGUAGAUAAUUCUUUGUUGUAGGGGCUGUCCUAUGCAUUGUCAAUGUUUAGCAGCAUUCCUGGCUGACACCCACUAGAUGCUGGUAACAUCCUCCUCACCAGUCAUGACAACAAAAAAUGCAUCCAGACAUUGCCAAUGUCCCCUGGGGAAGAAAAAUCACCCCCAGUGAUGCUCCUCCACUCCUUGUGCAUGAUAUACAUUAAUAUUUCCAUGGAGGUGACUUGCCAAGGUUCAUAACCUUGUCCUUAAGCAAGAAUUUGCAUGUGUGUGUACCUUUAUUUUUUUAAUGAAUUGAACAUUUAUUUAAAAUCAUAUUGUGCUAUUUAUAGUAUUCUUGUCUUGCAUGUUUUACUUAAUCACAUAUCCUCCAGAACUGUGAGAAUUUUGUUUCUGCUAUUAAGCUACCUAGUCUAUGGUAUUUUGUUAUAGAAGUUCAUAUUAACUAAAUACUAACUAAAUCAAUCUCUCUCUUUCUUCAUAAAUUUAUUUUUAAACUAUCUUUAAAAGAAUAUACUGUGAGCAUGAUUUCCAUUCUUAACAUAUUAAACAUUCAUUUUUCACUUUAUAAUGAUAGCAAAACAAAAUUAUCUGAUGUCAUGUUUUUUAAAACUAUAUAAUAAAAUUUUUAUUAUUUAAAAAAUUUAUAUAUACAUAUAUAAGUAAUAUGUAAAAUGAUAUAGCCACUCUGAAAAACAGUUUGGCAAUUUAUUACAAAACUAAGCACGCAAUUACCAUUUGACCCAGAAGUGAUUGUACUAUACCUGGUCACUUAUCCCAGAGAGAUAAACGUAUGCUCCCACAAAAAUCUGUACAUGAAAGUUCACAGCAGCUUCACUGGUGAUAGCCAAAAAAUGAAAACAACCUAGAUAUCCUUCAGUGAGUGAAUGUUUAGAAAGAAAAGAAAGUGGUAUAUUUACUUAUUUUCAUAGUAUAAAAGAUUGUAUUAUGAAAGUUAAUAUUAAAAUAUAUAAAUCCUUGAUGCAUUUGGUGCACAGUGAAGGGUGUAAUUGUGUGUGUGUUUGUGUGUCUGUGUGUGUGUGUUUGCAAAUGGCCACCCAAUUAUCUCACUCUUUAUAGAAUAAACUACUCCAACUGGCCUUCCACUCCACCACCCACUUUAUCCCUUUACCCUUCAUCUUUAUCCUCUUCAAAUAGCUCUUGUGGAAGUUGAAAUGCAUUCGGUCGUGUAUCUUCCUCUCUUCUUUUCAAAGAGGUCUGUACCAAUAUUAUCACUUGCCUAAAGAGUUUUUUUAUUAACACUCAAAUUAAAACUGCAGAAGGGAAGCCCUACAACUCUUAGAGCCUCCUGAACGCUACACAAAGCUUGCCUAGGUGGAGAGCUGAACAGCAGGGUGCCCAA